rnacentral:rRNA from 1 species
GAUGAACGCUGGCGGCGUGCUUAACACAUGCAAGUCGAACGAGAAUCGACGGAUUGAGGAUUCGUCCAAAUGAAGUUGAGGAAAGUGGCGGACGGGUGAGUAACGCGUGAGGAACCUGCCUCGGAGUGGGGAAUAACAGUUGGAAGCAGCUGCUAAUACCGCAUAAUGCAACGAAAUCGCAUGACUUUGUUGCCAAAGAUUUAUCGCUCUGAGAUGGCCUCGCGUCUGAUUAGCUAGUUGGCAGGGUAACGGCCCACCAAGGCGACGAUCAGUAGCCGGCCUGAGAGGGUGAACGGCCACAUUGGGACUGAGACACGGCCCAG